AGAGUUUGAUCAUGGCUCAGAAUCAACGCUGGCGGCGUGCCUCAGACAUGCAAGUCGAACGAUUAAACUUUCCUUCGGGAAAGAUAUAAAGUGGCGCACGGGUGAGUAACACGUAAGUAAUCUACCUUCGAGUGGGGAAUAACGUCCGGAAACGGACGCUAAUACCGCAUAAUGCAGCGGCAUCGAAAGAUGACAGUUGUUAAAGGAGCAAUUCGCUUGAAGAGGAGCUUGCGGCAGAUUAGCUAGUUGGUAAGGUAAUGGCUUACCAAGGCUUCGAUCUGUAUCCGGUCUAAGAGGACGGUCGGACACACUGACACUGAAUAACGGGUCAGACUCCUACGGGAGGCAGCAGUCGGGAAUUUUGGGCAAUGGGCGAAAGCCUGACCCAGCAACGCCGCGUGAAGGAUGAAGUAUUUCGGUAUGUAAACUUCGAAAGAAUGGGAAGAACUCAAUGACGGUACCAUUUAUAAGCUCCGGCUAACUACGUGCCAGCAGCCGCGGUAAUACGUAGGGAGCAAGCGUUGUUCGGAUUUACUGGGCGUAAAGGGCGCGUAGGCGGCAAAUUAAGUCAGCUGUGAAAUCUCCGAGCUUAACUCGGAACUGUCAGCUGAUACUGAUCUGCUUGAGUGCGGAAGGGGCAAUCGGAAUUCUUGGUGUAGCGGUGAAAUGCGUAGAUAUCAAGAGGAACACCUGAGGUGAAGACGGGUUGCUGGGCCGACACUGACGCUGACAGCGCGAAAGCCAGGGGAGCAAACGGGAUUAGAUACCCCAGUAGUCC
rnacentral:rRNA from 1 species